rnacentral:rRNA from 1 species
CCCUACGGGCGGCAGCAGUGGGGAAUAUUGGACAAUGGGCGAAAGCCUGAUCCAGCCAUGCCGCGUGUGUGAAGAAGGCCUUCGGGUUGUAAAGCACUUUCAGUGGGGAAGAAAGCCUUGGGGCUAAUACCCUCGAGGAAGGACAUCACCCACAGAAGAAGCACCGGCUAACUCCGUGCCAGCAGCCGCGGUAAUACGGAGGGUGCGAGCGUUAAUCGGAAUUACUGGGCGUAAAGCGCGCGUAGGCGGUCUGAUAAGCCGGUUGUGAAAGCCCCGGGCUCAACCUGGGAACGGCAUCCGGAACUGUCAGGCUAGAGUGCAGGAGAGGAAGGUAGAAUUCCCGGUGUAGCGGUGAAAUGCGUAGAGAUCGGGAGGAAUACCAGUGGCGAAGGCGGCCUUCUGGACUGACACUGACGCUGAGGUGCGAAAGCGUGGGUAGCAAACAGGAUUAGAUACCCUAGUAGUC